GGGUUGUGAGGUUAAGCGACUAAGCGUACACGGUGGAUGCCCUGGCAGUCAGAGGCGAUGAAGGGCGUACUAAUCUGCGAUAAGCGCCGGUAAGGUGAUAUGAACCGUUAUAACCGGCGAUACCCGAAUGGGGAAACCCAGUGUGAUUCGUCACACUAUCAUUAACUGAAUCCAUAGGUUAAUGAGGCGAACCGGGGGAACUGAAACAUCUAAGUACCCCGAGGAAAAGAAAUCAACCGAGAUUCCCCCAGUAGCGGCGAGCGAACGGGGAGGAGCCCAGAGCCUGAAUCAGCAUGUGUGUUAGUGGAAGCGUCUGGAAAGGCGCGCGAUACAGGGUGACAGCCCCGUACACAAAAGCGCAUGUGCUGUGAGCUCGAUGAGUAGGGCGGGACACGUGGUAUCCUGUCUGAAUAUGGGGGGACCAUCCUCCAAGGCUAAAUACUCCUGACUGACCGAUAGUGAACCAGUACCGUGAGGGAAAGGCGAAAAGAACCCCGGCGAGGGGAGUGAAAAAGAACCUGAAACCGUGUACGUACAAGCAGUGGGAGNNNNNNNNNNNNNNNNNNNNNNNNNNNNNNNNNNNNNNNNGGUCAGCGACUUAUAUUCUGUAGCAAGGUUAACCGAAUAGGGGAGCCGGAGGGAAACCGAGUCUUAAUUGGGCGUUAAGUUGCAGGGUAUAGACCCGAAACCCGGUGAUCUAGCCAUGGGCAGGUUGAAGGUUGGGUAACACUAACUGGAGGACCGAACCGACUAAUGUUGAAAAAUUAGCGGAUGACCUGUGGCUGGGGGUGAAAGGCCAAUCAAACCGGGAGAUAGCUGGUUCUCCCCGAAAGCUAUUUAGGUAGCGCCUCGUGAAUUCAUCUCCGGGGGUAGAGCACUGUUUCGGCUAGGGGGCCAUCCCGGCUUACCAACCCGAUGCAAACUGCGAAUACCGGAGAAUGUUAUCACGGGAGACACACGGCGGGUGCUAACGUCCGUCGUGAAGAGGGAAACAACCCAGACCGCCAGCUAAGGUCCCAAAGUCAUGGUUAAGUGGGAAACGAUGUGGGAAGGCCCAGACAGCCAGGAUGUUGGCUUAGAAGCAGCCAUCAUUUAAAGAAAGCGUAAUAGCUCACUGGUCGAGUCGGCCUGCGCGGAAGAUGUAACGGGGCUAAACCAUGCACCGAAGCUGCGGCAGCGACACUGUGUGUUGUUGGGUAGGGGAGCGUUCUGUAAGCCUGCGAAGGUGGCCUGUGAGGGUUGCUGGAGGUAUCAGAAGUGCGAAUGCUGACAUAAGUAACGAUAAAGCGGGUGAAAAGCCCGCUCGCCGGAAGACCAAGGGUUCCUGUCCAACGUUAAUCGGGGCAGGGUGAGUCGACCCCUAAGGCGAGGCCGAAAGGCGUAGUCGAUGGGAAACGGGUUAAUAUUCCCGUACUUGGUGUUACUGCGAAGGGGGGACGGAGAAGGCUAUGUUGGCCGGGCGACGGUUGUCCCGGUUUAAGCGUGUAGGUGUGUGUUCCAGGUAAAUCCGGUUCACUUUAACACUGAGGCGUGACGACGAGGCACUACGGUGCUGAAGCAACAAAUGCCCUGCUUCCAGGAAAAGCCUCUAAGCAUCAGGUAACAUCAAAUCGUACCCCAAACCGACACAGGUGGUCAGGUAGAGAAUACCAAGGCGCUUGAGAGAACUCGGGUGAAGGAACUAGGCAAAAUGGUGCCGUAACUUCGGGAGAAGGCACGCUGACACGUAGGUGAAGUGAUUUACUCAUGGAGCUGAAGUCAGUCGAAGAUACCAGCUGGCUGCAACUGUUUAUUAAAAACACAGCACUGUGCAAACACGAAAGUGGACGUAUACGGUGUGACGCCUGCCCGGUGCCGGAAGGUUAAUUGAUGGGGUCAGCGCAAGCGAAGCUCCUGAUCGAAGCCCCGGUAAACGGCGGCCGUAACUAUAACGGUCCUAAGGUAGCGAAAUUCCUUGUCGGGUAAGUUCCGACCUGCACGAAUGGCGUAAUGAUGGCCAGGCUGUCUCCACCCGAGACUCAGUGAAAUUGAACUCGCUGUGAAGAUGCAGUGUACCCGCGGCAAGACGGAAAGACCCCGUGAACCUUUACUAUAGCUUGACACUGAACAUUGAGCCUUGAUGUGUAGGAUAGGUGGGAGGCUUUGAAGUGUGGACGCCAGUCUGCAUGGAGCCGACCUUGAAAUACCACCCUUUAAUGUUUGAUGUUCUAACGUGGACCCGUUACCCGGGUUGCGGACAGUGUCUGGUGGGUAGUUUGACUGGGGCGGUCUCCUCCUAAAGAGUAACGGAGGAGCACGAAGGUUGGCUAAUCCUGGUCGGACAUCAGGAGGUUAGUGCAAUGGCAUAAGCCAGCUUGACUGCGAGCGUGACGGCGCGAGCAGGUGCGAAAGCAGGUCAUAGUGAUCCGGUGGUUCUGAAUGGAAGGGCCAUCGCUCAACGGAUAAAAGGUACUCCGGGGAUAACAGGCUGAUACCGCCCAAGAGUUCAUAUCGACGGCGGUGUUUGGCACCUCGAUGUCGGCUCAUCACAUCCUGGGGCUGAAGUAGGUCCCAAGGGUAUGGCUGUUCGCCAUUUAAAGUGGUACGCGAGCUGGGUUUAGAACGUCGUGAGACAGUUCGGUCCCUAUCUGCCGUGGGCGCUGGAGAACUGAGGGGGGCUGCUCCUAGUACGAGAGGACCGGAGUGGACGCAUCACUGGUGUUCGGGUUGUCAUGCCAAUGGCACUGCCCGGUAGCUAAAUGCGGAAGAGAUAAGUGCUGAAAGCAUCUAAGCACGAAACUUGCCCCGAGAUGAGUUCUCCCUGAGACUUAAAGUCUCCUGAAGGAACGUUGAAGACGACGACGUUGAUAGGCCGGGUGUGUAAGCGCAGCGAUGCGUUGAGCUAACCGGUACUAAUGAACCGUGAGGCUUAACCUUACAACGCCGAAG
rnacentral:rRNA from 1 species